AGGUGAUGCCCCCCCCCCCCAAAAAAAAUGAUUUCUGAGAAGUGUGGAAUGAAUAUUAUGUGGCACCUGUAACAUGUUCAGUUCUGCAUAUUGAAGCAGUCAAGUGGGAAUAUAUGGGGUAACACAAUCUGCCAAAAUAAAAUAGAAUGAUUUGCUCUCUUUCUUAUGUUCAGCACAAAAAGUAGUUUUUCUCAUUCUGGAAUAGUUCAUGCUUGUCCUCAUCAUGCUGCUGUCAAUCUAGAUUGAUUAGAUCCUGCUGUCCACAAGGGUGGCUGUGGUUGUUUGAUAAAUGUUUGAAAACUUUCCCCUUGAUUAGGUCAUCCACACCUUUUCCUCCCUGUACGUGCCCCAGGUGAAUGGAGAAGGGAGCAGUGAUUACGAUCCUGGUAUAUGCCCACCCUCAGCAUCAUUGGGCAGGUGUAGAUACAUCUCCGAUUGCCAGAACUGCCUACAUCUGUUUUCAAAUGGGCACAGUGCAGAGUAAUGCCAAAUCAAUCUACAAUGAGCUUUUAUAUUUGGAAUGAAACCAGAUUCUCAAGAAGUACUUUUCAGGGGCAAAAAGAAGAAGGAGAAGAUCUAGAUGGUGUGCAGAUUUACAUAGGAAAAAACCAAGCCUCCACUGAUUCUAGAACAAGGUGUCAUGGAUGAAAAAAUAAGGAAGGGGAAGAGUGGAGCAGCUAGCAUCUUGGACAGCAGCAUUUUGCACUGCACCAUUUUGUUGCAGAACUCAUUUACAGAAUAGUCAUCUCAUUCUCAAGUUAUGUUCUGCGCUUAGCUUCCCAG